rnacentral:rRNA from 1 species
GCAGGCUGCAACUCGCCUGCAUGAAGUCGGAAUUGCUAGUAAUCGUGGAUCAGCAUGCCACGGUGAAUACGUUCCCGGGCCUUGUACACACCGCCCGUCACACCAUGGGAGUCGGUAACACCCGAAGCCUGUAGUCUAACCGCAAGGAGGACGCAGUCGAAGGUGGGAUUGAUGACUGGGGUGAAGUCGUAACAAGGUAAC